rnacentral:rRNA from 2 species
GGACUACUGGGGUUUCUAAUCCUGUUUGAUCCCCACGCUUUCGAGCCUCAGCGUCAAUCUUUGUUUAGCCUGCUGCCUUCGCAAUAGGUGUUCCGGGUCAUAUCUAUGCAUUUCACCGCUACAUGACCCAUUCCGCAAACCUCAACAAUAUUCAAGACUGAUAGUAUCAAUGGCAGUUCUCGAGUUAAGCUCAAGGCUUUCACCACUGACUUACCAGCCCGCCUGCGCUCCCUUUAAACCCAGUGAAUCCGGAUAACGCUUGCACCCUCCGUAUUACCGCGGCUGCUGGCAC